rnacentral:tRNA from 1 species
AAAAACAAAAGUAAUUUACGUUCAGUUUCGGCCUGAUUUAGGAGGUUUAUCUUCUUGUUUUA